rnacentral:pre_miRNA from 1 species
AAAGACUCAAUUCUUGGGUUUCCGUCUCCAACGUUUGAUCGUCCGUCUUAUAUGAAAUUUUUUUAUGAUUAGUAUUUUCAUUAUUGCUAGAUGAUAAAACAUAAAUAAUAUUUUAUGCAUGGCUUAUCUUUUUAAAUUUUUUUAUAUUUUUUUAAAAUAAGACGGACGAUCAAACGUUAGACACGAAAACUCAGGAAUUGAGUUUUU